rnacentral:rRNA from 1 species
UACGUAGGCAGCGAGCGUUGUUCGGAGUUACUGGGCGUAAAGCGUGCGCAGGCGGUUUGCUAAGACAGGUGUGAAAUCCCCGGGCUUAACCUGGGAACUGCGCUUGUUACUGGCAGGCUUGAGUGUGGCAGAGGGGGGUGGAAUUCCACGUGUAGCAGUGAAAUGCGUAGAGAUGUGGAGGAACACCGAUGGCGAAGGCAGCCCCCCUGGGCUAACACUGACGCUCAUGCACGAAAGCGUGGGGAGCAAACAGG